rnacentral:rRNA from 1 species
UACAGAGGGUGCGAGCGUUGUUCGGAAUUAUUGGGCGUAAAAGGGCGCGUAGGCGGCUCUGUUAGUCAGGCGUGAAAUUCCUGGGCUCAACCUGGGGACUGCGCUUGAUACGGCGGGGGCUUGAGGAUGGAAGAGGCUCGUGGAAUUCCCAGUGUAGAGGUGAAAAUUCGUAGAUAUUGGGAAGAACACCGGUGGCGAAGGCGGCGAGCUGGUCCAUUACUGGACGCUGAGGCGCGACAGCGUGGGGGAGCAAACAGG